UUUGAAAGUUUGAAACGGAAGCGUCCUGGUGUUUCCUGUCCGCCUUGACCACCGCGGGGAGGCUCCGGCGGCUCGUUGAACUCUCCCACGCCGCGGUCAGCGCUCCUCCUCCGGCUGAGUCCACACGUGGUGACCGGGGAGAGUCGGAGACGGCCUGAACCAGUGAAUCUGGAGCCGGUCAUUUAUCCAUCUAUCUGUCAGUCUCUCUGCGCUGAGGUCCAACAGUAACAGGCUCUCAGGCCGAUUGCUGCCGAAGUCACUCUCAGUCAUGUUGCAUGUGAGGCGACACUGAGGAGAAUUGUAAUAACUACACCUGAGCUUUGGAAACCGUCCUGUUCUCAUUCAUCACCAGGCUCCACCUCUUCUCAGCGGCCGGAUCUAUCACGUUCUUAUCCUUC